AGAAAGGGCCAUAACUCAGAGGAAGAGCAUCUGUCUUGCCCACAGAAGGUCCCAAGUUCAAUCCUUGGUCUCUCGA